rnacentral:rRNA from 1 species
UACGUAGGUGGCUAGCGUUGUCCGGAUUUACUGGGCGUAAAGAGCGCGCAGGCGGUCGUUCAAGUCGAGUGUGAAAAGCCCCCCGGCUCAACUGGGGGAGGGGUCACUCGAUACUGAUCGACUCGAAGGCAGAAAGGAGGGGAAAGCGGAAAUUCCCCGGGUGUAGUGGUGAAAAUGCGUAGAUAUCGGGGAGGAACACCAGUGGCGAAGGGCGGCUUUCUGGUCUGCUCUUUGACGCUGAGGCGCGAAAGCUAGGGUAGGCAAACGGG